UUUACAUAUUUAUUUUCGUUAAGUUACGCAAGUUAAAUUCUUCAAUUUUAAUUUUUUUUUUGUGUUGUUAUGUUUUCGUAUGUUUCUAAAAAAAUAUUAUGUCAAUUUCUUUAUUUCUUCUAAGUAAUCUUUUAGUUAAAUCUUUUGCAUAACUAUGAAUCCAUUUUUAUACAACUAUGUCGGUAAACAAGAGAACAACUUAUAGACACAAAAGCUUCGAAAGCGCAUUCUACCUCCAUUCCCCACUAGGAGCUCUGGUUACCCUUACUCGAUCUUAGCAAAAAAAUUCUACGCUUGUGUUCAUUUUUUUUUUGAGGAUAAUAAAGAAUGUUAUUAUAUUUUUACUCUAUAGAAUGUUUUUAAGGAAUGAAAAAUUUAGAAAUUAAGCUAAAAAUUGGAAUUUUUCAGAAAACGUUCGCUAGGUAGGACGACGUCUGUGUCGGUUCAGGUCAAGAAUAUUUCGUCGAACUAGAAACGAAUUGAUUACACUUUGGAUGAAUUGCGACAAGCGAGACUCAUCGGUUAAAUAAAACUCAAGGCCACGGUCCCAUUUAAGAAACAACGCGUGCAACGGCUUUAAUGUGCAGACAUGGGACGGUUGCCAGGCAACGGAAUA
rnacentral:misc_RNA from 1 species